GGCGAACAUUGGUGUAAGUGACCAUGGUGCCUUCUGGGCAGGACCAAUGGGACGACGCGGAGUCCAGGAUGAUCGGAGCAAGGAAGCAGCCGGGAGCCGGAAACGGGAAACGUGGUGGAAAUUGAAAAUGUGAUGGACGUCGGGGAACGGGGAUAGACGCGGGCCCGGAUAUAGGGUAGAGAGUUGGAGCUGUACGAUGGCGCGUAGGAUGAAAGAGAUUAAAAAAAAAAAGAAACAUGAUACUGCAGAUGAAAAUUGACGUGGAAGGAUGCUGCGAUAUCUUUGAGAUUAAAAACUUUAAUGGACCAAUGAAAAGACAUUGUUACAUUAUAUGGACACGCAUUAAUUUGAUGACCACCUUACGGAUCUCGCAACGUCAUAUAUAGCAAUCCGAGUUGUGUUUAUGGCUGAAUAUGUAUGCAUAACAGUCCUCCGGGCAAAGUUUUUCCUCGGUUCACCGUCAAAUAUAAAUAACAAUCAAGUGAAUUUAACGUAGAAGAUACGGAUCUUCGUAUAUUUCGCGAAACCGAUACAGACACCAUUGCCAGAGCGGAGGAUAAGCAGAAAGAAAGAGAGAUAGAUGGGACUGCGAAUAAUGGCAUUUAAUGAAACACCCUGUAGACUCGUGACCAAAGUGCCAACGUAUUCCACGAGAUGGAUACGGGGUACUUACUAGCCCAGCGGGACGUUCUCGAAUAGACGAAACCCUGGGGCUAAGGUGGCGGUGCUAUCGUCAAUGUAGAGGAUAUUCAAAGGCAGGGCGGCGCUAAGAGAUCCAUUACGACGAAGUUAACGUGCUCCGUCACAGCGAGUACGUGUAUAUCCAUAACGCAAGAUGGUUUCAGAAUCGGGUAAUGGAGAGUCUGUAUAAGGUACACCUACCUGUCUGGCAGCCAGAAUCGUCGUUUACGUUUAUCUGAACGAAGGAUAAAAUAUUCCUGUGGGUUGUACAUAGAUAAACAAAAACGUAUAUACAGUCUAUGUCUGCUAUAUAGAAGUUCCAUAUACACGUGUACGUGUAAAAGGCGGCAGUGACUGGCGUCCUGAGAGAAACGGAGUUGGCGGGGACGGGACCAUUCAUAUACGUAAGAGUAUUCGUAUCUACAUAUACGAACUAUUGGACAGUGUGAAGAGCAUAAAUUUUAGCA